rnacentral:lncRNA from 7 species
GCCCGUUGACUUCAGCCAGCGUUCUGGACGUGGUGCUGGGUGAGAUUUCCAGACAUUCAGCUGAAGAUUUUCAAUGAGGAAAGAAAAGAAAGAAAGAAAGAAACAAAGAAGAAUAAAACAACAGCAACGACCGAAAUCCUACUGUACUGGAGGUUUCAGGUUCUGCAUGUGCAUCCCAGGCUCUCAGACCUGCCUUUCUCUGCCAGCUGUUGUGUGGCUGCUCACUCCACUCCUUACAAGCCUGUAUGCAGACCAGCAGAAUCUGUGGAGCCGGACUCAGAAUGAGCAUCAUCUCCAGUGAUCCAGAAGGCUUCACAGCAAGCAGGAGAAGUCUUGCUCCUUGUCACUGUGAUUAGAGGUGUAGGAAGCAGGAAAAUUGAUCUUUCUGCACUAGGAAGAAGCUUGUCUGUGCAGGAGAGGGCUUCCUCAGAGGGUGGUUUCAAGGACUCAAUUGGACAAUAUGUUUAUCUUCUUGGAUGCUGAAUAUAAUAAGCUGACGUGAAUAUAAUAAGGGAUAACACCAUAUAAUUCAAACAAGGUAAUCCUGACAAAGAAGCAAAUCAGUCAGUGGACAUCACCUAUUGUUCUGCCUGGUUUCAUUUGAGUGUUAGUAGAAGACCAACUCUUCUAUACAACAUCUAACAGUUUGCUAAAUACACAACUAAUUCACUUAUUGGAGGUGAUACUUAUCAAAAAGCUGAGAGGAAUUUGCACAUUGAAAUAUAUUUAUGGUCAUGUGAACAAGGAAGUGACCUGUUGGAGAUGGACCUUGGGUUCCUGAGGAGAAAAGUUAAAGUCGGCAGUAUUUCUCAAAUCAGAAGCAGAUCUUUCCAAACCAAGAUUGAAGUUAACUUUACCAACCGUGUGCCUUAGAAAGAAUCUACCCAGCCUGGACUAUGUUUAUGUGAGACUGUGACUUCACGUUUACGAGCUCAGCAAGACCUGAAGUGACUUGCUCCACACAGCUGUUCAGUAUUGCCCUACACACCAAUAAUCCUUUAGUAUAAUAAAAUACAUGUCUUUGCUUCUUUACUAGAAGUUACAGAGAAGCCUUCUGAUCACCCAGCUAUGAAAAGCACCGUGACUGGUUCUGCCCAGAAGCUGCAUGAAUACAUGUGGAGCAGAAAAGUUGCUCUUUAUAGCCAGCUGUAAAAUUCUUUCAAGCCCUGUGAACGUUCAGCAUGAGAAGGCUUUUCUCACUGGCAUUUUCUGAGAUAUAGAUUAACUUCAGCAUACCACCCUUCAGCAGUAUGCAUGAGUCAAGAUUACCCUCCAAGCUUACGCUAUAUCGAUGAAACUCAAAGUCAGCCGGUCCGUUUCAAGAACAAAAGCAGUGUUUGGUUCCAGUCAGCUGCCGGAGAACAUGCUCCAGAUUUGACAAACGUUGCAGUUAGUUGCUUUUGUGAGUUUAGUGCGCGGUGCAAAUGCUGUAAAAUGUUUUUCACAUGAUGCAAUAUUGCCAGCAGAUAAUCACUGGAGCAUUAAACCAAAAGAAUUUCUGUAUAUCCUACAAGCUGCAGGAGGAUAAGAAAAGGUGGUGUCUUGAAUUAGUUGGAUACUGCAAGUAUGGAGAGUAUUGAAUGAAAUCCUUUUCUGCAUCUUUAAUCUGUUUUAUGAAGUGCGUCUUCAGAAGGAAAGUACAAAGGAAGACAACCCCAAUUUGUUUGUACUGGAUACAGAGGUACUACAGUUACGUAUGAACAUUUCUCAUGGUAUGGAACAGAUCCUUCAGAUCCUCAGGACAGAGUCAUCUAUAGUGGUUAUUCCAGAAGCUCAGACUGCUGCUUUCCUUCUUUCCCUGCUCCCAGCAUGGUUUCUGCAGCAAAGAAACUGUGAAGUAUUAAGGGAGAAGUGCAGCUACCAACACUUGAAAUGUUUAAAGGAAGGCUGUGAUUCAGCACACUUCUGCUCAUGGACUUGAUGCACGUUUUGCUGAUUGCUGACUACGGAGACUUGUUCAAAAACCCACCUGGACUCCUUCCCGUGCAGCCUUCUGUAGGAAACCUACUUCAGUGAUCUCCAGAGGUGCCUUCCAACCCCUAUGAUUGUGUGAUUCUGUGACUGUGUCCUGAUGUUCAUGUAGCACCGUCUCUCCUUAAUGUACGGUAGAAUAACACAAUGUGAAGGCUUUCUCUAGAAGAGAGUGUCCUUAACUACUUAAGACUGAUAAUGAGUGAAUGUUCAUGUGGUCUGUUACACAACACUAAGCUCUUAUUUCACUGUCUGCAGUUAUGUUCAGCCUUCAAAUUCCUCUUUGUUGGUGAUGGGAAAAGAGGAUGGAAGCCAUAUGGACAGACUCAGAGGAGAGGGUAAAGUGACCAGGAGAAGCCCACAGAGAUCUUUCCCAAAGGAUGAGUGAGAUGAAACUGAAGGAAUGAACUCCCAUUGCCUUCUUCCUUCUGUGGACAGUGAAUACACAG